AUGGGCAUGGUCAUGGAGGUGGGGAAGAAGGUAGAACCGUUGGGGUUUGGUUACCCGGCACAGGUGCGGCGGGGGAGAACGCGGGUGGGAUGGAUCGGCAUUGGCGUCAUGGGCGGCGCCAUGGCCACGCGCCUCCUCGCUGCUGGGUUCACGGUGACUGCGUACGCUCGCACGUCGGUCAAGGCGGAUGCCCUGGUCGCCGCAGGCGCGAGUGUCGCUGACUCGCCCGCUUCCGUGGCUGCGGCCUCCGACGUGGUGUUCACCAUGGUGAGCGACCCCGGAGACGUCCGCGCGUCCGGCGCCCUGGCGGGUCUCCGCCCCGGCGGCGUCCUCGUGGACUGCACGAGCUCCUCCCCUUCCCUCGCGCGGGAGAUCGCCGCGGCCGCGCGCUCCGCCGGCUGUCACGCUGUCGAUGCCCCCGUCUCCGGUGGCGACGCCGGUGCCCGCGACGGCACGCUGGCCAUCCUCGCCGGGGGCGACGAGGCCGUGGUGGCCUGGCUCGCCCCGCUCUUCGCGCACCUCGGCACGCCGACCCACAUGAGCCCGCCCGGCAGCGGGCAGAGCAGCAAGAUCGCCAACCAGAUUGCGGUGGCCGGGGCGGUGGUCGGCCUCAGCGACGCCGCCGGGCUCGACGCGCGGCUGUUCCUCGACGCGGUGUCCAAGGGCGCGGCGGGGUCGCGCGUCAUGGACAUCUUCGGCACGCGCGCGGUGAGCCGCGACUUCGCGUCGGGCCCCGGCUCCGGCUCCGCGCGCUACAUCAUCAAGGACCUUGGCAUGGCACUGGAGAUCGGGGAUGGCCAGGAGGAGGAGGAGGAGGCCACCGCGCUGCCCGGGGCGGCGCUGUUCCGGCAGAUGUUCUCGGCGAUGGUGGCGAACGGCGACGGUGACUUGUGCGUGCGGGGAUUGAUCACCGUCAUCGAGCGCCUCAGCGGCGUUCACAAGUAA
rnacentral:rRNA from 1 species